UGGGGAAUUUUGGACAAUGGGCGCAAGCCUGAUCCAGCCAUGCCGCGUGAGUGAAGAAGGCCUUCGGGUUGUAAAGCUCUUUCAGACGGAAAGAAAUCUCUCAGGAUAAUACCUUGGGAGGAUGACGGUACCGUAAGAAGAAGCACCGGCUAACUACGUGCCAGCAGCCGCGGUAAUACGUAGGGUGCGAGCGUUAAUCGGAAUUACUGGGCGUAAAGCGUGCGCAGGCGGUGAUGUAAGGCAGAGGUGAAAUCCCCGGGCUCAACCUGGGAAUUGCCUUUGUGACUGCAAGGCUUGAGUGCGGCUGAGGGGGAUGGAAUUCCGCGUGUAGCAGUGAAAUGCGUAGAUAUGCGGAGGAACACCGAUGGCGAAGGCAGCCUCCUGGGCCAGUACUGACGCUCAUGCACGAAAGCGUGGGGAGCAAACA
rnacentral:rRNA from 1 species